rnacentral:rRNA from 1 species
UACGUAGGGGGCUAGCGUUGUCCGGAGUUACUGGGCGUAAAGGGCAUGCAGGCGGUCCGACACGUUUUGUGUGACAGCGGGUGGCUUAACUACCCGAGGAUACGAAAGACGGUUGGACUUGAGGACUCGAGAGGGACACGGAAUUCCGGGUGGAGUGGUGAAAUGCGUAGAGAUCCGGAGGAACACCGAAGGCGAAGGCAGUGUCCUGGCGAGUGACUGACGCUGAGGUGCGAAAGCCAGGGGAGCGAACGGG